rnacentral:rRNA from 1 species
CCUACGGGAGGCAGCAGUGGGGAAUAUUGCACAAUGGGGGAAACCCUGAUGCAGCGACGCCGCGUGAGUGAAGAAGUCAUUCGUUAUGUAAAGCUCUAUCAGCAGGGAAGAAAAUGACGGUACCUGAGUAAGAAGCUACGGCUAACUACGUGCCAGCAGCCGCGGUAAUACGGAGGGGGCAAGCGUUAUCCGGAUUGACUGGGUGUAAAGGGGGUGUAGACGGCAGUGCAAGUCUGGAGGGAAAGGCGGGGGCUCAACCCCCGGACUGCGCUGGAAACUGUACGGCUGGAGUGCAGGAGAGGUAAGUGGAAUUCCUAGUGUAGCGGUGAAAUGCGUAGAUAUUAGGAGGAACACCAGUGGCGAAGGCGGCUUACUGGACUGUAACUGACGUUGAGGCUCGAAAGCGUGGGGAGCAAACAGGAUUAGAUACCCGGGUAGUC